UACGAAGGGGGCUAGCGUUGCUCGGAAUUACUGGGCGUAAAGCGCGCGUAGGCGGACCUGCAAGUCGGGGGUGAAAGCCCGAGGCUCAACCUCGGAACUGCCUUCGAUACUGCGGGUCUCGAGUCCGGGAGAGGUGAGUGGAAUUCCUAGUGUAGAGGUGAAAUUCGUAGAUAUCGGGAGGAACACCUGUGGCGAAAGCGGCGCACUGGACCAUAACUGACGCUGAGGCGCGAAAGCUAGGGGAGCAAACAGG
rnacentral:rRNA from 1 species